GACGAACGCUGGCGGCGUGCCUAAUACAUGCAAGUAGAACGCUGAAGGAGGAGCUUGCUUCUCUGGAUGAGUUGCGAACGGGUGAGUAACGCGUAGGUAACCUGCCUGGUAGCGGGGGAUAACUAUUGGAAACGAUAGCUAAUACCGCAUAAUAGUAGAUGUUGCAUGACAUUUGCUUAAAAGGUGCAAUUGCAUCACUACCAGAUGGACCUGCGUUGUAUUAGCUAGUUGGUGAGGUAACGGCUCACCAAGGCAACGAUACAUAGCCGACCUGAGAGGGUGAUCGGCCACACUGGGACUGAGACACGGCCCAGACUCCUACGGGAGGCAGCAGUAGGGAAUCUUCGGCAAUGGACGGAAGUCUGACCGAGCAACGCCGCGUGAGUGAAGAAGGGUGUCGGAUCGUAAAGCUCUGUUGUAAGAGAAGAACGAGUGUGAGAGUGGAAAGUUCACACUGUGACGGUAGCUUACCAGAAAGGGACGGCUAACUACGUG
rnacentral:rRNA from 1 species